AGUUUGAUCAUGGCUCAGAUUGAACGCUUAUGGGAUGCUUGCCACAUGCAAGUCGAACGGCAGCAUCGACUUCGGUCUGGUGGCGAGUGGCGAACGGGUGAGUAAUGUAUCGGAACGUGCCUAGUAGCGGGGAUAACUGACAGCGAAAGCGUAGCUAAUACCGCAUACCGGAAUACCCUCCUUCGGGGGAAAGCGGGGACCUUCGGGCCCUCGCACUAUUAGAGCGGCCGAUAUCGGAUUAGCUAGUUGGGUGGGGUAACGGCUCACCAAGGCGACGAUCCGUAGCUGGUUUGAGAGGACGACCAGCCACACUGGGACUGGAGACACGGCCCAGACUCCUACGGGAGUGCGUGGGGAAUUUUGGACAAUGGGGAAACCCUGGAUCCAGCCAUCCCGCGUGUGCGCGAUGAAGGCCUUCGGGUUGUAAAGCACUUUUGGCAGGAAAGAAACGGUACCGGAUAAUACCCCGUGCAACUGACGGUACCUGCAAGAAUAAGCACCGGCCAACUACGUGCCAGCAGCCGCGGUAAUACGUAGGGUGCAAGCGUUAAUCGGAAUUACUGGGCGUAAAGCGUAAACGCAGGCGGUUCGGAAAGGAAAGGAUGUGAAAUCCCAGAGCUUAACUUUGGAACUGCAUUUUUAACUACCGAGCUGAGUGUCAGGAGGGAGUGGAAUUCCGCGUGUAGCAGUGAAAUGCGUAGAUAUGCGGAGGGAACACCGAUGGCGAAGGCAGCCUCCUGGGAUAACACUGACGCUCAUGCACGAAAGCGUGGGGGAGCAAACAGGAUUAGAUACCCUGUAGUCCACGCCCCAAACGAUGUCAACUAGCUGUUGGGGCCUUCGGGCCUGCAGCAGCUAACGCGUGAAGUUGACCGCCUGGGGAGUACGGUCGCAAGAUUAAAACUCAAAGAAUUGACGGGGACCCGCACAAGCGGUGGAUGAUGUGGAUUGUUCGCAUGCAACGCGAAAAACCUUACCUACCCUUGACAUGUCUGGAAUCCCGAAGAGAUUUGGGAGUGCUGCAAGAGAACCGGAACACAGGUGGCUAUAAGGCUGUCGUCAGCUCGUGUCGUGAGAUGUUGGGUUAAGUCCCGCAACGAGCGCAACCCUUGUCAUUAGUUGCUACGAAAGGGCACUUUAAUGAGACUGCCGGUGACAAACCGAGGAAGGUGGGGAUGACGUCAAGUCCUCAUGGCCCUGCGGUAGGGCUUCACACGUCAUACAAUGGUCGGGACAGUACGCUGGCGAGGGGGAGCCGAUCCCAGAAACCCGAUCGUAGUCCGGAUCGCAGUCUGCAACUCGACUGCGUGAAGUCGGAAUCGCUAGUAAUCGCGGACCAGUAUGUCGCGGUGAAUACGUUCCCGGGUCUUGUACACACCGCCCGUCACACCAUGGGAGUGGGUUUUACCAGAGUAGUUAGUCAAACCGUAAGGAGGGCGAUUACCACGGUAGGAUUCAUGACUGGGGUGAAGUCGUAACAAGGUAA
rnacentral:rRNA from 1 species